GUGAUGGAGAGGGAAGGAGAGGGAGAGUGAAGGAGAGGGAAGGAAAGGUAGAGUGAAGGAGAGGGAGAGUGAUGGAGAGUGAAGGAGAGGGAGAGUGAUGGAGAGGGAAGGAGAGGGAGAGUGAAGGAGAGGGAAGGAGAGUGAAGGAGAGUGAAGGAGAGGGAGAGUGAUGGAGAGUGAAGGAGAGGGAGAGUGGUGGAGAGGGAAGGAGAGUGAAGGAGAGGGAGAGUGAUGGAGAGUGAAGGAGAGGUAGAGUGAUGGAGAGGGAGAGUGAUGGAGAGGGAGAGUGAUGGAGAGUGAAGGAGAGGGAGAGUGAUGGAGAGGGAAGGAGAGGGAGAGUGAAGGAGAGGGAGAGUGAUGGAGAGUGAAGGAGAGGAGAAGUGAAGGAGAGGGAGAGUGAUGGAGAGGGAGAGUGAUGGAGAGGGAAGGAGAGGGAGAGUGAAAGAGAGGGAGAGUGAUGGAGAGGGAGAGUGAUGGAGAGUGAAGGAGAGGGAGAGUGAAGGAGAGGGAGAGUGAAGGAGAGGGAGAGUGAUGGAGAGGGAAGGAGAGGGAGAGUGAAGGAGAGGGAGAGUGAAGGAGAGGGAGAGGGAAGGAGAGGGAGAGUGAAGGAGAGGGAGAGUGAUGGAGAGGGAAGG
ensembl:lncRNA